UACGAAGGGGGCGAGCGUUGUUCGGAAUUACUGGGCGUAAAGGGCGCGUAGGCGGCCGAUCAAGUUAGAUGUGAAAGUCCUGGGCUUAACCUGGGGACUGCAUUUGAUACUGAUUGGCUUGAAUUCGGGAGAGGAUAGCGGAAUUCCCAGUGUAGAGGUGAAAUUCGUAGAUAUUGGGAAGAACACCGGUGGCGAAGGCGGCUAUCUGGACCGACAUUGACGCUGAGGCGCGAAAGCCAGGGGAGCAAACGGG
rnacentral:rRNA from 1 species